rnacentral:lncRNA from 1 species
GAGCAGAAGCCCAGGAGAUAGUGCUAUUCCCGUAAACUGCUAAUGGAUCAAAGGGCGUUUUAAAAAGAGACAGCUGAAAUGUGCAGGCUGCUUAAAAGUCUUCUGUUAUGAGAUGAUGUACAUAUGUUUGACCAGGGGAGAGGUAAGCAUACUAGAGAGAGCUAUUUUUGCACCGAAUACAUUAUGCAUUGUGGGCUCCCAUCCAGCAAAUAUUUAUGCAAGCACUUAAUGGCUAGGAUAAGCGCACUCGCAAGAAGGGCCACUCGUUGCGAAACAAUGCAUGAGCAAAACACAGCUUUCAUUCCGGAUCGACACGUCUCCGAAUUUUGGGGUGUUGUUCUCCCACCCAAAAAUGUGGACGCAAGAACGUUCUGACAGCAAGAGCUGUUGAACAGUGGAACGGACUACCUAGGAAAGGGGUGAAUGCUUGUUCACUGGAGGUUUUUAAACAGAGGUUGGACGGACGUCUAUCAAGGAAUCUUUAGCUGUGAUUCCUGCAUUGCAAAGGGUUGGAAAAGAUUAGCCUUAGGGACCCUACCAAUUCUGCAAUUCUAUGUUUCUGUGUAAUGCAUGCAUUGAGGAAAAGUGUGUGUGUGGAUAUAUAUGCAAACAUAACACACACACACACACACACACACACACACAUAUACACACAAACACUUGCACAAUUGCUUGCAAAAAUGUGCAUCAAAACCGCAAACAAAAAUGUAUAUUUUAGGGGAAAUACGAGCUAAAAUUUUCAUGGGGACUUUUUUUUUUUUUUAAAUGGAAACUGAUAUGGAAAUGGGAAUAACAGGCCCUUAGGGCUGGGAAAAUGAGAAAGUGAGAACAAGCAAAACUGACAGAUUCAUUCACCCCUACAAGCAAGCAUAAUGAGAAAAUAAUAAUAUAAGAAGUCUGCUGCAUCUGGCCAAUGGCCCGUGUAGUCUAGCUUCCUGUUCUCACAGAGGACCAAUGCGCCAAGAGUAAUGGUGAACACUGAAACGUCAUGCUAUGUAAGGGCACAAUUGACAGAAGCUGUGCUGCCCUAAAAGCAUAGAUGCUUCUCAUGGAGUAAAAGGCUGACAAUCAUCACUAGCAGUUAAUGAUGACAAUAAUAAUAAUAAUAAUAAUAAUAAUAAUAAUAAUAAUAUUGCCCUAUACCCGGAGAUCUCAGAAAUCAGGGAUGGAGGACCUGUCGUCCUUAAGGUGUAGCUGGAUUCCAUCCCUCCUCAUUCCUGGUCAUUGGCCAUGCUGGAUGGGGCUGAUGGAACCAAAGGCAGUCUUCCAAGCAUCUUUAUUUGGUCCUCAGGACUCGCUUCCCCUCCAGACACACACCUAUGCACCAAGCAAUACCCCCACUGCACCAUCCUCAAGGGUUUUUGCCUGGCUGGAAUGUGCCCUUGAGCUCUGACCAUGCCUUUUGCUUCCUUGGCUGAAGGAUGAGAAAGCAAUGUGUGAUUGCAUGUAGAAACUAGUCCACUGUGAAUAGGUAAAAGUUACAUCCAUUGCUCUUGCCACCUUUGCGCACUGGCAUGUGGCACCUGGAACAGUGCCCACCAUGGGGGCAAGCCAGUUAGACGAGCCCCCAUCAUCAGAGCAGGGUUGAGGGGGAAUUUUUGUUCCACUUUGCAUUUUAAUGGAAACCUUUUGGAUUUGGACUUCUGGGGCUGAUUUGCCGCAUGAAAUGAAACUGCCCUUUGGCGGCGGGGGGGGGGGGGAUCUGAAUUUUCUGAUGCGGUUCUUCAAACCCCUGCAAAAAAUCUGUAUGGAAAACGUGUAUAUUAUGGGAAAGUGAACAGAAAGUUGCUUAAAUUGGUGAAAACAAUAUGCAAAAAUACAUUAAACGAGAAAUAUUGCUUCCAAAUAUGUGUAUAUUAGGUGAAGUACUUAAUUCAUUGAAAAAGGUGCAAGGAUUUUCCAGGGUGGGUAGAUCUUGUGUCUUCCAAUACUUUGCAAUAAGUAUUCUUGCUGCUGUUGUAGCAUACAUAAAGAAAGUUCUAUCCUUCUUUGGCACCAAUUGGCCGACCAUGCCCAGGAGAAAGGCCUCUGGUUUCUUCAGAAAGGUAUAUUUAAAUACCUUUUUCAUUUCAUUAUAGAUCAUCUCCCAGAAAGCCUUAAUCCUUGGGCACGUCCACCAAAGGUGAAAGAAUGUACCUUCAGUUUCUUUACAUUUCCAACAUUGAUUAUCAGCAAAUGAUAGAUUUUUGCAAGCUUGACUGGUGUCAUGUACCACCUGUAUAUCAUUUUCAUAAUAUUCUCUCUUAAGCCAUUACAUGCCGUAAACUUCACACCUGUGGUCCAUAACUGUUCCCAGUCAGCCAUCAUUAUGUUAUGUCCAACAUCUUGUGCCCAUUUAAUCAUAGCAGAUUUCACCGUUUCAUCCUGAGUAUUCCAUUUCAACAGCAAGUUGUACAUCUUUGACAAGGUCUUGGUUUUGGGUUCUAACAGUUCUGUUUCCAAUUUUGAUUUUUCCACCUGGAAGCCAAUUUUCUUCUCCAAAUUAUAUGCCUCCAUUAUUUGUUAAUAAUGAAGCCAAUCUCGCACUUUAUUUUUUAGUUUUUCAAAACUCUGCAAUUUCAAUCUGUCUCCCUCUUGUUUCAAAAUUUCCCAAUAUUUCGGCCAUUUGGCCUCCAUAUUGAGCUUUUUCUGAGCCUUCGCUUCCAUCGGUGACAACCACCUUAGGGUUUUAUUUUCAAGUAGGUCCUUAUAUCUUAUCCAGACAUUAAACAAUGCUUUCCUGACAAUAUGAUUUUUAAAUGCUUUAUGUGCUUUGACCUUAUCAUACCACAAAUAUGCAUGCCAUCCAAAUACAUUAUUAAAGCCUUCUAAAUCCAAAAUGUCUGUGUUUUCAAGAAGCAGCCAUUCUUUCAGCCAGCAAAAAGCUGCUGAUUCAUAAUAAAGUCUAAGGUCUGGCAGGGCAAAUCCACCUCUUUCCUUUGCAUCCAUUAGUAUUUUAAAUUUUAUUCUAGGCUUCUUGCCCUGCCAGACAAAUCUAGAAAUAUCUCUCUGCCACUUCUUGAAACAAUCCAUUUUAUCCAAAAUUUGCAAUGUUUGAAACAGAAACAACAUUCUAGGCAAUACAUUCAUUUUUAUCGCAGCAAUACGGCCUAGCAGUGAAAGCUUCAAAUUUGACCAGAUUUCUAAAUCUUUUUUCACUUCAGUCCAGCAUUUUUCAUAAUUGUCUUUAAAUAGACUCCCAUUUUUAGUUGCCAUGUUAAUCCCCAGGUAUUUCACUUUCUUAACCACUGUUAAACCUGUCUCAUUCUGAAACCUCUCUCUCUCAAUCUCUGUCAGCGGCGUAGCGUGGGUUGUCAGCACCCGGGGCAAGGCAAGUAAUUUGCGCCUCCUAACCCGGGGCAAGGCAAGUAAUUUGCGCCCCCUAACCCGGGGCAAGGCAAGUAAUUUGCGCCCCCUAACCUCUAACCUGCCACCGCUGCCAGGUUCUUCUCGCUGCUGCCUGGUCUAGUCUGGUGUGGUUCUCUCCCGUGCUCAGCGCUGCGCUGGGUGGCCACUGCACUGUCCCUCCCCCAGAUAGUCCCUCGCUCUCUCUCCGCACCGCACGCCUGGCACCCACCCCCUCCACAGUGGGCGGCGACCCAUUGGCUCGGAUCGGAUUCGCACAGCCAGCACUGCAGUGAGAGAGAGUGAGUGAGCCAGGUAGGGGCAGAGAGCUGCGAGUGCGAGCGCCCCCCCAGAUGUUGCACCUGGUGCGGCCGGCCACCCUGCAGCCCCACGCUACGCCACUGAUCUCUGUUAAAUUUUUCUCUAAGACCUUUGUUUUUAACUUAUUCAGUUUAAAUCCUGCAACCUGACCAAAUUCUUGAAUCAGUUCCAAAACUCUUUUGGUACUAGAUUCUGGCUCCUGUAAUGUCAAUACUAAGUCAUCUGCAAAUGCUCUCAAUUUGUACUGUUUAGCUCCGACUUGUAUACCUUUAACCAAUUGGUCCCUUCUAAUCAUAUUCAACAGGACCUCCAGGACCGAUACAAAAAGCAAUGGGGAGAUUGGGCAACCUUGUCGUGUCCCUUUUUCUAUCUUGAAUUCCUCCGUCACCACGUUAUUAACAAUUAAUUUAGCCUUUUGUUCUGAAUAAAUUGCACUUAUACCGUUUCCAAAGCCUUGACCUACCCCCAUCCCCUGUAGAUUCUUCUUCAUAAAACUCCAAGAAAUGUUGUCAAAUCCGCAUCCACAAAUAUCAAAACUGCCUUGGUAUUAAUAUUCACUUGUAAUUUUUCUAAAAUAUUGAUUAUGUUUCUCAUUAUCAGACAAGUGUCUACCCGGGAGAAAGCCUGCUUGAUCUUUAUGAAUCUCUUCCAGUAACACUUUUUUUAGUCUUUUAGCCAAAAUGUCUGCAAAAAUUUUAUAAUCCACAUUUAGCAGUGAUAUGGGGCGGUAGUUCUUAAGCUGCGUCUUUUCAGUCUCUGUUUUCGGUAUAAGUGUAAUAUACGCUUCUUUCCACGACUCUGGUGCCCUUUUCCCAUCCAUUAUUUCAUUGCAGACUUCCUUUAAAGGUUGAACUAACCAUUCUCUUAAAGAUCUGUAGUAUCUAGAAGUCAGUCCAUCCGGUCCUGGAGAUUUACCUAAUUGCAUAUUCUGAAUGGCACCUUCUACCUCCUGUUCAGUUAUUUUAUAGUUCAACAUUAAUUUAUUUUCUUGAGAGAUUUUUUGUAAUCCAUUUAUUUUCAAAAAUCGGUCUACGUCAAUUUCUUUCUGUGGCCCUUGUGUAUAUAGUUGUUUAAAAUAAGGUGUCAUUCAUCCUCCAUCUGAAGGAGCCAGUUGGUGUUAGUUUCAUCUCCAUCUUCACAGCAUUAUGGUCGGAGCAGGUUUUUGGACAAAUUUCCACUUUUCUUGUUUUUGGUGCCAUUCCUCUAGUUACCCAUAUUUGGUCAAUUCUUGUCCAUGUCAUUUUGGCUUCAGAGAAGAAGGUUCCCUCUCUAGCCAAGGGAUUCUUUGUUCUCCAGAUAUCAACUAAGUCCAAGUUGUCUGUCAUCUCAAAAAAGGUUUUCGGUAAUCUACCAUCCUUAGUAACUACCUGUCUUUGUGCCUUGUCCAUAUUUGUAGAUACCACUCCGUUCAUAUCUCUCAUCAAAAUCACAUUAUAGUCCAAAUAGUGCAUCAAGGUCUCAUGCAACUUUUUAAAGAACUCAGAUUUCCCCUCAUUUGGUGCGUAAACUCCUACUAUUAAAAAUUUCUCUCCUUGUAUUUGAAUUUCAAUUGCCACAAAUCUUCCUUGGUCAUCUUUAAAGAUAAAUUUCGGUGAUAGUCUCUCCUUUGCAUAAAUCACUACUCCUCUUUUUUUAACUUUGUCCGAUGAGAUAAACUCCUGACCCAGUCUUUUAUUAAUCAAUACUUUUCUAUGUAGCCUCAUCACAUGUGUUUCCUGUAGACAAAUCAAGUCCAAUUGUUCCUUUUUUAAUAAGUGAAAAACUCUUUUCCUUUUCUGGGGGGAGUUGAGACCAUUAGAAUUCCAGCUUAAUAGUUGCAGAGCCAUGAUGUAGUUACUUUAGUUUUCCUCCAACUGCACCAAGUGCCUGUUCCUGCUCUGUCGGUGGUAUCACCUUCUCUGGGCAGUCCAGUUCCAAAGGUAGUUUUGCUAUGUCUAAUAUUCCUCUUUCUAGUGCUCAUAGCUCUUCUCCAGAUUCUUGCUGCAGGUCUUCUCCGUGGUCUUUCAGAAAUCUUUCUUUGUCGUCCACUGAUCUUAUUUUUAUCUUUCUUCAUUUGAAGCUGAAAGAUAGGCCUUGGGGAAAUUCCCACCUAAAGAUGAUUCUGUUGCUUCUCAACAGGGCAAAGAAGGACAGGAAUUUAUUUAUGUAUGCCACAACAGCAGCAAGAAUACUUAUUGCAAAGUAUUGGAAGACACAAGAUCUACCCACCCUGGAAGAAUGGCAGAUGAAGGUGAUGGACUACAUGGAACUGGCGGAAAUGACUGGCAGAAUCUGAGACCAGGGAGAAGAGUCGGUGGAAGAAGAUUGG